rnacentral:sRNA from 1 species
UGAAGGUAGGGACUUCGUUCAAAACCUUUCUGAGAUCGGUAAUGGGAGUUUCUCCGAACUUUUUCGGAGCUUUUC